ensembl:lncRNA
GGUAAGCGUCCGGUUUAGGAGGAGGCGGCCUGUUGUGGUUGUUUUGUGAGUGGGGCGGCCACGUGCAGCCCUGGGCGCUCAGUCGGAAGCCAGUCGCGCGUGGGUCCUGGGCCCUCCGGCAGAAGUUAAGUACCGCUGAUGACUCGGGUGAAGGUCAUCCGUUGUACUGUCGGUGCCAUGUGGCCAUCUUGAAUCUGUUGCUCUGCGACUCUGAAGAGUAACACCGCAUCCUGACGACCCGCCAGUUUUAUCCAGGUGGAAGCUGAGCUAAUUGUUCCAGUGGACGAUGGAAAGCAUAACGAGAUAUACCAAGAAAUCCAAAGUGAUGUGAGUGAAGUCUGAGCAUCCUGCAGUACACUGCAAAAUGUGAUUUUAAAUCUCGUGUAUGGUAUUUAAAUAGAAAAUAAAAGUGUGCUGCUUUUAUUUAUAUAAUAAAAUGCUUGAUUUGUAAAAAAAAAAAAAAA